CAUGACAUUUCCAAUUCCUUCCUUCUUUUCCUCCCGUAUAUAACCCAAAUUUUCCAUCUUCUCUCUUUUCUUCCCAUCUUUUUCUCUUCUCUGAAAAUUCCAGCCGGGAGAAGAAGCUCCCAAUCUGGCUAAUUCUCUCGACAAUAACGGAAGAACUCAAAGCUUUUUCUUUAAUAGAAGUCGCUUUUCAUUCAUCCAAAUCCGAGUGUUGCCAACCAUCCAUGCCAAAGGUGUUAUAGGUUCAAGCAUGGUGCAUUUCCUCCACUACUGUAUGGUUGAAAUGCUUGGCUUGCCCUUAUUUCCACACAAAGAGCUAUAUACAUGAAGGGAGGGAAAUAUGGUUGCUUAAGGUGGUGGAAUGGGAAAAAAAAUCUGUCACAUUUCCUACUUUAGCUUUCAUCUUAAGAUCAUUUGAAGGUUGGUGGCUUUGUAUUGGAUUGAGUAAGCUCAUUAGAACAUUCUCUUGAUUUACACAAAUGACUGGAGAGCUGGACAGACAGGAAGGUAUGUUUGAAGUUGAAGGGAAUCCUCCUUGCAGAAAUUUAAUAUUGAAGCAUGAAUUGUACAAGGCAGCAAAUGUGGUGGCAGAUGGGUGUAAGUCAAACAGUUGGGAAAUUUCGAUUUCAGAAAUCCAUUUGUCUUACUUUGAAGAUACCAAAAAGAUUGAUGUAAGAAUAGAAAUGUUCUUUUUUGUUCAUUUACUGUUAAAGAAAUACUGGAUCUUUUCAUUUGCCCGCAAAAUCAGUGGGUUCUAGGCAUUGCUUGGGGGUGUAGAUAUCAAAUGUGGUCUAAAAAAUUGUAAGUUUGAGCGUGUAACAAUGUGAUAUCAAGUUUGUCGUCUAGAGUAGAACCUUGAAACUUGGUUUCGUCGGCAAAUUGAGGGUUGACGUAAUAAUUUGUUAAUUUUGUUUUUGUUUUUUCCUUUUGAA